AGCAGCCGCGGUAAUUCCAGCUCCAAUAGCGUAUAUUAAAGUUGUUGCAGUUAAAAAGCUCGUAGUUGAAUUUCGGGGUCAGUAGAUUGGUCAUGCCUCCGGUAUGUACUGGUCUUACUGGCUCCUCCUUCCUGAUGAACCGUAAUGCCAUUAAUUUGGUGUUGCGGGGAGACUGGACUGUUACUUUGAAAAAAUUAGAGUGUUUAAAGCAGGCUAACGCUUGAAUACAUUAGCAUGGAAUAAUGAAAUAGGACGUUCGAUCUUAUUUUGUUGGUUUCUAAGAUUGACGUAAUGAUUAAUAGGGAUAGUUGGGGGCAUUAGUAUUCAAUUGUCAGAGGUGAAAUUCUUGGAUUUAUUGAAGACUAACUACUGCGAAAGCAUUUGCCAAGGAUGUUUUCAUUAAUCAAGAACGAAAGUUAGGGGAUCGAGGACGAUCAGAUACCGUCGUAGUCUUAACCAUAAACUAUGCCGACUAGGGAUCGGAUGAUGUUAAUUUUUAAUGACUCAUUCGGCGCCUUAA
rnacentral:rRNA from 1 species